rnacentral:lncRNA from 1 species
GCAGCCUCUGAUGAGGAGCAAGAAUGCCCCCUCUCAUCCAGCCUUGUCAGGGCCAAGUGAAAGAAGCCCGGGCAGGCCUGGGGAAGCUGCCCAAGGAGCCUCAGUAGUCAAUGCUGGCAUCGUUUCUCUCUCAGCCCCGUCUCUGUCACUUUGAAGCUUUCUACUGGUUUCCUUUGAGUCCCCUCAGCUCCCCAGUCAGAUCAAGGAAGAGCUGGUUGUUGCUUUCACAGACUUCAGGGGCAAGCAGAUCUGAGUACCUCGGGGGUCAAACAGACCUGCCCCAACCACAGCGUUGAAGAGGAGAUCCAUUUCCUAAAAAUGGGGGGAGACGGCUAUUGGUGGGAUACUCUAUUCACAUCUGUCUCCACUGCAUGUCUACAGAACGGCUCCCUGUAGUCUGGGAGUAGCGUUCCCUGGCUUCUCUGAGCUUCCUGCGGUCCACGAAAGGCUGUUUCCCUUGACAGAAGCCUUUCCUCUUCUUCCAUAUCUGGUUGACUGCAUGUCCUUUGGAGCCAGCCCUCUGGACUGAGGACUUGAAUCUCUGAUUAAUCCGCCCAGUACUCAGCUCCAUGGCCUCAGUGGUGUCCACGAGACUCUUGACACGGGACCUAUUCACAAGGGAAGGCACCUCCCCACAGAUGCACCUGAAAGCCGUGGACCCUGUGAUUCUCAGGAAUUCGGCUGACUGAUGGAGCAAUCCUUCCCACACGGGUGAAGGUGGAGGACUCCCCUUGACCCAGACACACGGGUAUUCCGUGAGUUUCUUGACGGUGCCAGUUCCUCUGAAGUAUGGAUUUUACUCCUUGGUGUUGUCUGAUUAGAUAAACUCUCCAAGAUAAAGAUCCGGAUAUAUUGGCAAGGGACCUGGCUUUUAGAAAACAUAUUCCUCAGAUUUAAAGUUGUAGGCCCUCUUUUCUCUCCAGAAACUCAGUCAUUUGCCCUGCAGAAUUUUCUACACUGUGGAUUUGCCUGACUACACCCUGUGGUGCUGUUCCUCUAUCUUGUUCUGGCAAGGAAGAGCCAAGCACCGCAUGACUCUUGUAGAAGAUGGACUUUGCAGACUGCAAAAGGGGAAAGGAAAGGGGCGUGUGAUGUUUGUAGGUGCCUUGGUAGAAAGUCCCUCUUUGCCUAGAAAUUAUUUAGGCAUCCUUUUAUAAUGCUUCUGGAAGAACAGAAAGAAAAAUCUAUUUCCUGAAUGAGAUAAGGAUGCUUUUCAUUGAGUGUCAGUAUUGAACCAGCCCCAACUGA